UACGUAGGGGGCAAGCGUUGUCCGGAUUUAUUGGGCGUAAAGAGCGUGUAGGCGGCCAUUCAGGUCAGCUGUGAAAACUCGAGGCUCAACCUCGAGACGUCGGUUGAAACCGUUUGGCUAGAGUCCGGAAGGAGGAGAGUGGAAUUCCCGGUGUAGCGGUGAAAUGCGCAGAUAUCGGGAAGAACACCCGUGGCGAAGGCGGCUCUCUGGGACGGUACUGACGCUGAGACGCGAAAGCGUGGGGAGCGAACAGG
rnacentral:rRNA from 1 species